rnacentral:lncRNA from 1 species
UUGCAACCAUGAUCCAUACUUUGUGCAAAAAGAGGAUGUUUUUCAUGUUCUAGGUCUUAUUCCCGAGCAAAAAAUUACGACCUCCUUGCGAAUGCUUGCAUAUGGAGUAUCUGCAGAUCAAGUGGAUGAGAUCGCGAGGAUGGGAAGAACAACUGUUCUGGAGUCCCUGAUGCAAUUUUGCUCUGCAAUUGAAGCCCUCUACACCAAUGAGUACCUCCAGACACCCACGCCAAGGGACAUGCGAAGGCUUUUGAGGAAAUGUGAGAUGCGAGGCUUUCCUGGCAUGAUUGGAAGCAUCGACUGAAUGCACUGGACUUGGAAAAAUUGUCUAAGUGCGUGGCAAUGUGCUUAUGGCGAUAGAAAAGGAGCCAAAAGCAUCAUUUUGGAAGCGGUGGCUUCAUUUGAUACAUGGAUUUGGCAUGUUUUUUUGGUGUUCCAAGAGCUCAGAAUGACCUAAAUGUUUUUGCCUAAUCCCCAGUGUUCGACGAACUGCUGCAAGGAAAAUCACCGAGAUGCACAUAUUGGGUUAAUGGUACCCAAUACGAGGGAUCAUACUACCUUGCAGAUGACAUUUACCCAAGGUGGUCAACAUUUGUCAAAACAGUGCCACAUCCACAGACUGAAAAGGAAAAAUACUUCGCAAAAUGUCAACAUUUGACAAUUUCCCAACAUUCCCAUUUGUUGAAUGAUUUGUUCUGGUUCUUUGAAUUGUAGAAUGCUUGAGCUAUAAAAAUGUGGGAUAAGAUAGUGUUAAAAAAUGCGGGUGUAACACAAAUAAAUAAAUUCAAAUAUUGAUGCGGGUGGAAUGCAUAUAAAUUACAUAAAAAUGACAUAAGAAAUUAAAUAAAUUAAAAUUUUGAUGCAGGUGGAAUGCAUAUAAAAAUUACAUAAGAAAUAACGCAAAAAUUACAUAUGAAAUUAAAUAAAUUAAAAUAUUGAUGUGGGUAGAAUGCGUAUAAAUAAAUAAAAAUAUUGUCACCUGAUCCGCUAAACUUGUCCCACUAUGGAGGUUACCGGAAUCAUGAGAGAUGGUGUUUUUCCAACAAGUAAAGGAUGCGUUGAGUUUUUUUCCAACGACCUUGAAGACCUGGACUAGUUCUGUCGUCUUUUCCAUGUACAUCGCAAAACGCUUUUGUAAUUUUACUCCACAUUUCUCGCUUAUCCAUCUCAUUACCCAUAAUCGGGUCAUAAGUAGUGUGAACCCAACAUUCACACAACAUAACAUCUUCAAUGAGCUUCCACGAAGACAUUUUUUUCUCUUGAAGUGUAGAAAAUAUUGAAAUGUGGUGUAAGUUGGAAGAUGAGGGUUAGGUAUUUAUAGAAAAAAAAAUAACAUUUUUAAAAAUUUUAUGUAUUUUUUUUAAUUUUCUGUACUUUUUAAUAAUUUUUUGUAUUUUUUUUAUAAUUUUUAAUAUAGUUAAUUAUUCUGGAUCGUUGGAUUUGAAAAAUAUUCAAAUCCAAGAGCCAAUGAGUUGCCACGUGGCCAUCGGUCAUAUUUCUGACCGUUGGGCCUUUUUUAUUAUUUUUAUUUUUAUUUUUUGUGAAAAAAGUGGACCAUUGAUCUGUGAUCGGAUGGUCCAUUUUAAAAGUCAAAUUUAAUUUUUUUUUACUGUUGGAAAUCCAACGGUCUACAAAAACUAGCUAUUGAAAAUCCAACGGCACUGAGGAGGGCCACGUAGUCCUAAUCCAAGUGAACACAAGUGGGCUGACAAGUAGGCCCCGCCGCUUGCAGCCUUGUCUCCUACUCGCGCCCAGUCGCGAGUGUGCUGCACGCGCCAGCCAAAUUGGCCGGCCUUUGGGUUUAUCCGAAAUGGGCUGGUCUGUUGCCUGGCUUGGGCUGGGUGCCAGGUUGUUUUGUGCUAGAGCAAAUUGACAGGGUGCUGGGCUGCUUUUUGGACUGGGUGCUGGGCUAAAUUGUGUGGGGUGGACUUGCUCUGAUACAAUUUCCUACAGUGGAGAUGUACGCCACGCAACGCGUUCCCAAUUUUAAAGAAAUUUCUGCCAAAAUCAUACUCCGUUAGCCAUUAAAUUAUCCAUUGAACGAUAACGUAGCAGGCCCUUAGCUCACCAAAAUCAAAAUCAUAAAAAAGUGUUUGGAGAGAACUAUACGAACAUGUUCGAUGCACAGAUGGACAUGAUAAGCUCAUAUAUAUACACACACACACACACACACAUACAUUUUACAUUAAAUUCACUUGUCUUUUCUUAGUUAGUUCCUUAUAUUUUUAAGUUAUUUACUUUGUUUUUGUGUUUUGUAGGAUUUUUCAAGCAAAAAAAGAGAAAAAUAGCACAAGUUGGAGUUUAAAUAACAAAUUCGUUAAAACUGCCUCUACAGAUCAGCUGACUUUGGAAGCGAGUUGCGAAUAGCUCAGAAUGAAUUAGAGAGUGAGCUUUAUAUGCUUGGAAAGCUACGGAUGUCUAUAUCAUUUUUCUAGAAGAAGUUAUACCUGUUUUAACUGAAAGGUUCCCAAGAGACUGAGCAGUUUGUAAGAAGCAAUGAAAGCAAUAAACCCAAUAAAUCCUAUCAGCCAAGAAAACCACUACCCAUAGAGUUAUAAUUGUUUUACCAUUUCCUCUCACUUAUUGUCAUCACUAAAUGGCUAUUAGUGGGGUGAGUUAUUGAGAAAUAAGAAGAUGGCUGACUGAAAAUUUUAAAAGAAAGAAAAGCAAGAAGGCUGCAGGUUGCAGCGGCAAGGUGGGAAGAAAAGAAGAAAAUAGAACAAAAAUAAAAUGCAAGGAGAAAAGGAAGCUGAUGGGAAGCAAUAGAGGAGGAAUGAGGAAAUUUUGACAUUCUCUUCUUUCAAUUUUAUCUUUUCAAAUUCAUGUUUUUCUUUUGGUUUUGUUUAAGGAUUAUGUGUAACUAAUUUUUAGAAGUUAGGGGCUGUUUUGAAGCCUCGAAUAUGAUUGCAAAUAUGUUAUGACAUUUCUUUUCAAUUUCUUUUAUGAAAGGAUGAAAAUUGCUUCACUACUUGUCUCAGUGAUGAAUUCUUUAUGUGUUUUCUAUGGAUACAUACUUAGUAAGCAUAUCUAGGGUUCUAAUGCUAUGAAUAUGUGUGUGUCUGCCCUUGUUGAAUGAGGACCUACAUAUGUUCUAGAGUAGUCUUGUUAAUUGCAAUUAACAUGUGAACCAAUAUCUAGGAUAAGCAAGACACCAGUAUUUAUAAUGUCUUAUGAAGACUUCAACUCUUUUCGUUUGUAAUGAUUUCUACUUGUUAAAUCUAUGAACACGUCAUUUUAGGUUGCAUGCUGGGGACUAAAUUAAGUUGAAAACGUCAUUUUCUUAACAUACUAAAUAAGAAAGAGUAAUAAGUUGAGUUCUAACAUUGAGCCAACUUGAGUAUCUUCAUCCGGAAAUAAAAGGAAUUUGAAUGAAACAUAACAUAUUUGCAUGAUUAUUUGGGGGUGGAAAUCAAUUCCCCUAACCCGUUUUCUUAACUUGUGAGCUACAAUCUAUUUUAUUUAUUUAAAAUCCGUUUUUGUCUUGUUUUUGUUUGAUUUAAUUAAAAUAGAAAAUGAACUCCCAAAAUUUUGUGUGAGUGUACCUCUGUGUGUCUAGUGUCUACAUAUAAAAUUUCGUUGAAUUUAGAUAAGUGUAAGUUGGUCUAAUAAUUAUUUUUUGGUGGCUGGUCAGUAGGGACAGCAGCCAAAUUUUUGUGACAUUUUAAAUAGUUAGAUAAAACAAUUUUUUGCUGGAAAAACCCUUAUUUUCAUAUGUUACAAUUGACUAAUCUUAGUGUUAAUAAGGAAAAUCAAUAGGACAUUUGUGUGCUACUUUGUGGUGUGCUUUUAAUCCUAUCAGGACACGGGUCAUAGGAGUAUCCGUCGGAAUAAAGAGAGAGGGGAGGAGUCCAGUGGUGGUGGGGAUGAUGUGCAAGAGAUUGCAUGGGUGGGGACGAGAUGGGAGUGGUAGAUAGAUUUUUUUUUCUUUUGUAUUUUAAUUUUUCAAUACUUAUGUUUUUUUAGUAAUAAAGAUAAGAUUUUUUAUCUUUAAUUAGUUUCAAAUUUUUUUGGUGGGGCUAAAGGCAUGCCACAUCAUUGUUUAAUGAAGGAUUUAAUGGCUAGACUAACAGAAGUAAGACUUUGAGAACAAAUUGUAACUUUAGGUGUGAAAGUGAGAUGGAAAAAACACUAAGGGUAGCAAAGUGCGAAUUUCACGAUAUUUGAGCGUUGUAAAAUGACAAUUACCCUUGAAUUAAACAUAUCUAACAACAUGAAACUGAAUUACAAACUAAAAUACUACCAUUCCUAAUUUCCAUUGUCUCUGCCACUCAGUACUACGGUUUAGUGAUAUUCCUCUUCAUUUGGAAGUGAGAGAUAUUAGGUUCGAAUCUUGUGGAUGACAAAUUCAUACCAAAUUAGGUUGCCCAUUGUGUGGCUUAGCCGAACUCCCCCUCCCCUUAGUGUAAAAAUAUCGAUAUACUCAAAAGAAAAAAAAAAUUUCCACUAUCUCUAACCUAGAUUUCUAAUUUUAUGAGAUUCAUAUGUAACUACAAAGAACUAAAUUGCAAACUAAAUAAAUUUACACAAGUACAACGGGAGGGAUGAGAGUUGAAAAGAGGAAAGGGCUAGAGUUAGGGUUAGGGUUCCGAAUUGGGGUUUCAAAUUUCUCUUGUUUGGCCCCAAUUCGGCUAAUUAGUUCAGGAAAUUGCUGUUGUUAGAAAUGUGUCCAAAAGCCAAUCAUAAGAUAAUACUUUACGAACAUUUCACAUAUUAAACUAAUUUAGUUUAAUGUAAGGGCAAAAAUUAUUGUUUAAAGCUGUCUCAUUAAAUGUUUUACGCUUAAACGAUAAGUUCAAGGAAUAUGUAAUUAAGAGAAUGUGAUCUAAAGAAGUUAGAUUCACGAGACAUUUCUCCUUCACACACAUAACCUAAACGUUCAUGAUCAUAUGCUUGCUAAUUGAAUUGACAAUCCAGAUUGAUUAGUACAUGAUAUGUCUUCUCUUCGAAUAGAUUGACUGGUCUCG